CCAACGAUAUGAUUUUAUCGGCUGCUUUAAAUGCAACAUCUGGACGUGGACACUAAGAUAAACACGGACAGGGAAAAUGCAUCGUAAGGGCAUCAUCAAAACUGACCCUCAAACACGUCUGGACUGCAUUGUGUAGUCUUGUUUAGCCAUUUAACGUGGAUCUAUACCGAUCCGUCAAACGGUCUCGGCAACUUUUUUUCGACAAAUUCAAAAUAAACAGAAAGACUUUACGGGAAUACAGACAACA
rnacentral:lncRNA from 1 species